GAAGGAGUAGGUUGUUUGGGUAAAGUUUAGUGCAUUAAUAUAUUAAAAAUAAUUUUUGCAGUUUGUAUACGAAAUAUAAAAAGUAAUAUGGACGGAUACAAUUAAUAAAAUAUAAUUGGAUUUCAUUAAUAGCACUUGGUUUUUCCGAGGCAGUCUCGUUAGAAACUAAGUUGCGAUAUUUUAUUCUUUGUCAGCAGUCAAACGCAUUUUCAGAAAAAUAUUUUAAAAUAUGAACCUGCAAUCAUUAUUUAGGGAUUUCAAUCCAAGUAAAUUUAUUGUACACUGCAGUCUCUUUACUUUCGUGACCCUCUUUGCCUUGCGUUUAGAUGGAUUUAUUGAUUGGCCAUAUUGG